AUGAUGAUGACAGGGCAACAAAAGAGGUCAUUAGUACAAGUGAUGGUUCCAAAUAUUGUUUGUAUGACAUACUCUAGUUGUAGAUACGGCAGGACUGUUCGGGCGAACACCAAAAACCUUCUGUUACGGCCAGACUGUCCGGAAAUUAGGAUCAGACUGUCUGAUCCAGGCCUGCACCUCGUCAGGUUCUACGGCUUCUGCUUCGACCCGCACACCAAGGAGCUGGUCUACAAGUACUUGGAUAGUGGAUCGCUCAAGAAGUACCUCUACCGUGACAGGGAAGGCGAUGGUGGUGAGGAGAGGAGGGAGAGGCUCGAGUGGCGGACACUGCACAACAUCGCCAUUGGGGAUCCGUUCGUUUGUAUUUUGGUUGUCUGUUGCCAAUUGGCAUACGUUCCUGUUCUGUCGACCCGGCCGGCGCGCCCGGACAAACAGACUAGUCUUACUUGGCGUUGUUCGUUCCUUGUGGGCACAAACUGGCACGGAAAAGCGGUACAUAUGCACGGCGUCAAUGUGCCACUUUCUUCAUCUUCAGAGAGAAGCGGCAUGAAAACGAGCUCCUCUCCGGUCGGUGAGGAGAAGUAUCACCGUCUUCCGUCGCGAUUGCCGACCUAUUUCCGAGCGCAUGAUCCAGGCACGAUGUCGUGGCUCAUAGUUCUAUGUGGCACGUUUCGACCGUUUGCUCCGGAUACUCUACACUAG
rnacentral:rRNA from 1 species